AUCUUAUUGAUGUAUUCUUGGAUGCAGUGUACACCUCCUUCUCAUCCUGCUUGAUUUCGUCUUCACAAUGUUCCUUCAAGGUAAUUUUCUAGUCAUGUCUGAAAAGCACAGACCCUUUUCAGCCUUCUCUCUUUUUUUUUCAAUAUCUCCACUGGAGUUUUUGGAUGGAGCUGCACUGUUGUCCAAGCAGUCUCAUAAGCCUGAGCCAAAGGUUUGCAUGGCCCUCAUUCCCCAG
rnacentral:lncRNA from 1 species